UAUCGGUCUAUGCUACGUUUAGUUAAUUAAAUGGCACUGCGAACGCAUACUCCUACUAUCAAGGAAGUAUACACAUCGCGAGCCAAUGCGAAACAAGCGUAGGAAAUGGGAAAAAGGAAUAAGAUAAAGAAAGAGCAACGAGUGAUACGUUCGCUGCGUGUUGAGUGGCGCUCUAUGAAUACACAUGUCUGUAUAUAUAUACACCUGGAUUUCCCCUUAAUUUGCAAGAGGUGGCGCCACCGCAAAUAAAUAGCUGCGAUAACGGAUUGAUAUUGAUUUAGGAACUUAAGUGUCAAUUUCUUUCUAUUUAUAAUGCAAUUCAUUGUUCUUGUAUCGUGAACUUUGAACAUUCGUGCUUGACAAAAAGAAUAAAUUUAAUCUUCGUGACUGGCAAUAUUGUCUGGCGGAUGUAUUCUAUCUAUAGUAUUCUAAUCAUAGAUUUCUCUAAAAAGUCGAUUCCUCGAUUUACGUGGACAACAAAUUAUUUUUCUAUGGUGUCUAGUUUAUUUACAAUAUAUUAACAAAUCGUAUCUGCACUUAGAAAAAGGACGGCGAUGUCCAGGAAUUGUCCAGGAACAAAGCGCAACGCCCUAUUAAAAACACGAUCGAAACCCGAGGAUGAGUUGUUCGCAGGCCAAAGUGAUUAUAACUCCAUUCAACAAAUCUUGUGCAAUUUUAUUGCUAAAGCAAUUUGUUCGAUUGACGCUUGUUUCGCACGAUUUUAUCAAUUUUCUCCACUUUCUGUCUCAUGGAGUCAAAUCAGCAGCCAUAUAUCAAAAGGUAGAGACAUUACACAAAGUAAUCGAAGUCGUGUACAGCCGGAGAACAAGUUGAGUAGAAAGAGCGAAGCGAAGGGUUGAUGUAGCCAGGAAGAAAUUCCUGGUAUCGGGCCGUGUGCGCGGUGGACUUUGACGAUCCCUUAAGUGAAAUAUCAUCGACAAUCACUCACGUGAGAUCUUUAUCGGCUGGUAACGUGAUCUUUGACCCCACCAAACUCGGGAGCAGUUUUAUGCGAGCUCCCGCGGCGCGUGAAUAUACACCCGGUGGGUGCUGUUGCUCCGUGAAGGAAGAAGACCUGGUGAGAUCGCUGGAAGAUCGAAGCAGGAAUGUAACGCGGUCCGUGGGCUUCGGGAUGGCUGGAAUCACAGAAAAGUAUUCGGUCGGGUUCGCGUGGAAGCCACGGCACGGCGUUCCGCACGCAGGAACGCGACUGCCAAUAAAUAAGCUUCGGCAUUUCGCGCGCGAUUCGCGCGUCUUAUCGAGCCACUCGGCCCGCUGCUGAGGAUGGGGCUACUUCCGAUCCAGUCGAUCGAAUCGAUGCCCCUUAUCUGCGUACACAGCAGCUCCGGUGGAGAGCUCUUUCGCUCGAGAAACAAAAACAACCUAACCCUUUGGGAAUUAUGCGAGAACGUCGUACGUUUGUUCGUUGCACGAACUUGAGUGUCGAGAGCGAGUAAAUUGAUGAUACACCCGUAAAGAAAGCUGUAUCGGUAUUUUGCAUAUUGUCGCGGUGGAUAUUUGUUCUUUUAAGGAGAAGGAGAAGUAGCUGUUAUAAUUGCAAUAGCAUUUAUUUAGACAAUUAUAUCGUUCUAUAGAGUACUUGAAUAAAUUAAAAUUCAUUAAUAGAUCAAUUAGAAUAUCAUCUUAAAAAUGCUAUAUUUUAAUUAAUUGAAGGAAUAUGUUAUAAUACGCCACGUAUGGAUGAUAUGCGUUAAUUGAAAAAAUUAAUUUACUGCUACUGGACUAUCUUAUACAAAUUGAUGCAUCUAUGUUUAUGGAAGAUAUUUUGUUAUCGUAACGCUAACGUAACGUAAAGGGCAAAUGUAAAAUAUGUAGAAAUUAAUUAUAUAUACAGAGAAACUAUCGUAUGGAAAAUGGAAAUUUCAGUAGGAGAAGAAAAAAUACAUAUUCCAAGGAAAGUAGGAAGAGUAUGAUACAGAGAAUAGCCUAGAAUACUUUAUGAAAGAAAAGUAUAAGAAGAUUAUCAUAUAACAAAUCAUUAAAGAAUACAAAUGUUGGCUAUAUUUUAUAGUAAAUAAGAGACAGAAUAGAAAUUGUAGAAAAUGCUCUACAAAUAUACUUACAUUAUAAAUCUAAAAUAAAUGUAUCGGGAUCUUAAGAGCAAUCUCACAAUAAAAGACAGUAUAACGUAUACAUAAUUAUAAUAUCUAUUAAAUAAAAGAUGUGUAAAAAGAAUAUUACAAAAGCAAUAACCGAAUUCUUACUUGUAUUAUUAUACGCAUAAUUGUAAAAUUCAAAAUUUUUAGCGAAACACGUACAAGUAGAAAUGCAAGUGGAAUGACAGUGGCAUGCCACGUUUUACAAUAUUUUUUAUUUCAUGUCACUUAAUCAUUAAUAGAACAC